GGCCAUUUAAAAUUAAUUGGUCAGAGAAGUUCUUUCUGAUAAGUUUAGCAGAGAACCAAAAAACAAGCGAGGAAACUAACCAUAAGGACAUCUAAGAGAUGUUCCAGGAAGAGGGACUAGUCAAUGCCAAGGCUUGAGAUAGACACGGUAUAUUGAGAACAGCAAAGAGAUCAAUACGGCUUGAAAAUGGGACGGAGGAGGAGACUUGCUGAUCAUUUAAGCCAGUGGGAUUAUAGUGUGAGCUGUAAAUGCAAGACAUAUAAUUUAAACUUUUUCUCCUGUAGCCACAUUUUUUAAAGGGUGAAAUUAAUUUUAACAAUGCUUUCAUUCAACUGGAUAUAUUCAAAAUAUUAUCAUGACAACAGGCAAUCAAUAUAAAAUUAUUACUGAGAAAAUUUACAUUAUUUUUAUCAGUACUAAGUCUUCCAAGACCAUGCUAUAUUUCACGCUUACAGCACUUUUCAAUUCAAACUAGCUACAUUUCAGAUGUUCAACAGACCCAUGUAACUAGUGUCUACUAUUUUAGGCAAUGUAUAUUCUGAGCCAUGAAGACAUUUGGAAAAAAAAUUUCUUUUAUUCUGAGUGACAAUGAAGGUGUCGAGUUGUGGUAUGGUUUUUACUGAUGUGCUACAAGGACAAACCAUGGGAAGAAAAAUUUAGAAAGAAACAAAGGUAGAUUCAUGGAAAGCAUUUAAGACAUUAUUGAAACUGCCCCAUCACUUUGGAAUAGAAGAAAAAUAUAAACAUCUUUUUCUUUUUUCCACACAGUGUCUGCACCUCCUCCUCCCUUGUAUUAAGUAAAAGCGCUGUGUACGUUUUUUAUGAGUUUAAUUUCAUAUUUAUUGAGAGACCUCUAGCUAUUUAUUUGUUCUUUCCCCAAGUCAGUGAAGUAAUUUUCUCAUACUCACUUUAAUUUUGAAGAUACAUUAUUUUUAGGAUGGAUAAUUUUCUGGGAAAUCUCUACAAGGACUAAGUUUUUUUAUUAAAACAAAGGAUAAAAUACUAUGUUCUAGGAAGGAUUUAAGAAAAAAAAUGAUGUGGCUAAAAGGGAAACUAAUGAUCACUGGUGAAAAACAAACAUAAAAAUGCAUACUAAAAUACAGACAGAUCUGUGUAUUAUAUUGGAAGAGAGAAUAGAGAAAUGUAAGUAAUUUCCAAUACUACUGGCUAAAAAUGCCUGAUAGGAUUGCUAUUCUGAACUAAAUGAGAGUGUUUCAAUUUAUAUACUUGGAAAGCACCUGAUAAAAUCUCUAUGAAGCACCUCAGUAGAUUUUGAGAAAAAUAGUAACAAAAUUUCAUAAAUUGUAAUGGUUUCCAGAAAAAGUACAAAACCAAUUGCCUGUCUUCUCCAAAUCCUUUACCUACUUCAAGUUUGCCUGUAUUUGACAAUCAUAACACGUGAAUCAUUUGUCUUCUCUGAGCUGAAGCUACUAGAACAUAAAGGAUCAUCUGAAUUCACCUGGAAGCAGACUUUUCCUAGGGGUUGUGUCCCUGGGUUUGGAAUGACAUUACUAUCACCCACCCAGAAAGCAAUUCUGGUACACCUAGAACCCUUCAUCAGACUGCUCUGCAAGUACUACACGAAGUGUUUAAAUUGGGAAGAAUGAGCAAGAAAUUUAAAAUCACAGACAAAGGUACAAAGGAGAUUCAAAGAGGGAUGUCAUAGUUUGGUCAGUCAUCAAAGUUAAAGAAUUCCAGCCAAACAUUUAUUUCCAUGAACCGUUAAGCCCUUCCAUGGACUCACCAAACACAGGCUGAUGGCUUCUACGUUUGAUGAGCUUACAGACUCUCCCAGAGCCAACAUUAUAGGGACCCUCAGUUUCAGGAUAUUAGACAUUUGGCCUUUCAUUUUCUUGCUAUGGCCAGCAGCUGUCUAGGGAUCCUGCUGGCGUCUGCUUCGGAUAUUACCUCCGAAUCAGUGGAGAUGAGAGUUAUUUGAUUAGCCACAAUUCAGGAUGGCGAGAAAUGAUGAGAUUUUCUUGUCACAUGAUAUGUUAUUUCAGAGAAUAAGAAAGGGUGAGUGAAGAAGAUUCUACUAAGGACUUUUCAGCAAAUCGAAGUUCCCAUCAUGGCACAGUGGAAACAAAUCCACCUAGGAACCAUGAGGUUGCGGCUUCAAUCCCUGGCCUUGCUCAGUGAGUUAAAGAUCCUUUGUUGCUGUGAGCUGUGGUGUAGAUCUCAGACAUGGCUCGGAUCUGGUGUUGCUGUGGCUGUGGCGUAGGCCAGUAGCUGUAGCUCCGAUUAGACCCCUAGCCUGGGAACCUCCAUAUGCCAUGGGUGUGGCCCUAAAAAUAAAAAAAUAAAUAGAUUUUUUUUCAGCAAAUUAAUUCAACCGUUCCAAAGAAAAGCAAAGCAAGAUCAGUAUCAUUUCGACCUACGUCACUCAACCUAAGAUCCAAAAGUGCCUGCUGAGUCAUCACAUUUUCAUGUGGAGUGUAUGUUACUGGACUACUGACAUUCUUGACAAUCUCCAAAUUCAAGAAUGCCACGCAAGAAGAUUUAUGAAGAGCAAGGAAGGGUUGAAAAUAAUGUCUCAUUCCAAUAUUUGUGUGUAUAUAUGACCAAGGCCACUCACUGGUUAAGUGCUUUACUCCCUUAUACAAAAAAUGAAGGGCUAAUAUAAUUUGAAUCUGUGCUUAGUAAAGUUACAAAUGUUCUCUGUUGCGGGCCUUCAGGCAUUUGGAACAUAGCUGAACUCUUCGGGAUAUUUACUGGUAUGUAAUUGGUAAUCUGUGGAACAGAUUCUUAAGACAAUGGUUUGCAUU
rnacentral:lncRNA from 1 species